UAAGACCUGCACUUUUGGAGCGGCCGAUGUCUGAUUAGCUAGUUGGUGGGGUAAUGGCCUACCAAAGCUUCGAUCAGUAGCUGGUCUGAGAGGACGGCCAGCCACACUGGGACUGAGACACGGCCCAGACUCCUACGGGAGGCAGCAGUGGGGAAUUUUGGACAAUGGGCGCAAGCCUGAUCCAGCCAUGCCGCGUGAGUGAAGAAGGCCUUCGGGUUGUAAAGCUCUUUCAGUCGGGAAGAAAAGGUUGCGACUAAUAAUCGCAAUUCAUGACGGUACCGGAAGAAGAAGCACCGGCUAACUACGUGCCAGCAGCCGCGGUAAUACGUAGGGUGCGAGCGUUAAUCGGAAUUACUGGGCGUAAAGGGUGCGCAGGCGGUUUUGUAAGUCAGAUGUGAAAUCCCCGGGCUUAACCUGGGAACU
rnacentral:rRNA from 1 species